UACGGAGGAUGCGAGCGUUAUCCGGAUUUAUUGGGUUUAAAGGGUGCGUAGGCGGACGCUUAAGUCAGCGGUAAAAUUGCGGGGCUCAACCUCGUCGAGCCGUUGAAACUGGGUGCCUUGAGUGGGCGAGAAGUACGCGGAAUGCGUGGUGUAGCGGUGAAAUGCAUAGAUAUCACGCAGAACUCCGAUUGCGAAGGCAGCGUACCGGCGCCACACUGACGCUGAGGCACGAAAGCGUGGGGAUCGUACAGG
rnacentral:rRNA from 1 species